UACAGAGGUCUCAAGCGUUGUUCGGAUUCAUUGGGCGUAAAGGGUGCGUAGGUGGCGCUGUAAGUCGGGUGUGAAAUUUCGGAGCUUAACUCCGAAACUGCAUUCGAUACUGCGGUGCUUGAGGACUGGAGAGGAGACUGGAAUUCAUGGUGUAGCAGUGAAAUGCGUAGAGAUCAUGAGGAAGACCAGUGGCGAAGGCGGGUCUCUGGACAGUUCCUGACACUGAGGCAGCGAAGGCCAGGGGAGCAAACGGG
rnacentral:rRNA from 1 species